rnacentral:rRNA from 1 species
GGCUCAGGACGAACGCUGGCGGCGUGCCUAACACAUGCAAGUCGAACGAAGAUUGUUUGAAAUGAGACUUCGGUCAAUUUUCAAUUAAUCUUAGUGGCGGACGGGUGAGUAACGCGUGAGUAACCUGCCGUUCAGAGGGGGACAACAGUUGGAAACGACUGCUAAUACCGCAUAAGCGCACAGCAUCGCAUGAUGCAGUGUGAAAAACUCCGGUGGUAUGAGAUGGACCCGCGUCUGAUUAGCUAGUUGGUGAGGUAACGGCCCACCAAGGCGACGAUCAGUAGCCGGCCUGAGAGGGUGAACGGCCACAUUGGGACUGAGACACGGCCCAAACUCCUACGGGAGGCAGCAGUGGGGAAUAUUGCACAAUGGGGGAAACCCUGAUGCAGCGACGCCGCGUGAGUGAAGAAGUAUUUCGGUAUGUAAAGCUCUAUCAGCAGGGAAGAAGAAAUGACGGUACCUGACUAAGAAGCCCCGGCUAACUACGUG